rnacentral:rRNA from 1 species
GGGACACGUGGUAUCCUGUCUGAAUAUGGGGGGACCAUCCUCCAAGGCUAAAUACUCCUGACUGACCGAUAGUGAACCAGUACCGUGAGGGAAAGGCGAAAAGAACCCCGGCGAGGGGAGUGAAAAAGAACCUGAAACCGUGUACGUACAAGCAGUGGGAGCCUCUUAAUGGGGUGACUGCGUACCUUUUGUAUAAUGGGUCAGCGACUUAUAUUCUGUAGCAAGGUUAACCGAAUAGGGGAGCCGAAGGGAAACCGAGUCUUAACUGGGCGUUAAGUUGCAGGGUAUAGACCCGAAACCCGGUGAUCUAGCCAUGGGCAGGUUGAAGGUUGGGUAACACUAACUGGAGGACCGAACCGACUAAUGUUGAAAAAUUAGCGGAUGACUUGUGGCUGGGGGUGAAAGGCCAAUCAAACCGGGAGAUAGCUGGUUCUCCCCGAAAGCUAUUUAGGUAGCGCCUCGUGAAUUCAUCUCCGGGGGUAGAGCACUGUUUCGGCAAGGGGGUCAUCCCGACUUACCAACCCGAUGCAAACUGCGAAUACCGGAGAAUGUUAUCACGGGAGACACACGGCGGGUGCUAACGUCCGUCGUGAAGAGGGAAACAACCCAGACCGCCAGCUAAGGUCCCAAAGUCAUGGUUAAGUGGGAAACGAUGUGGGAAGGCCCAGACAGCCAGGAUGUUGGCUUAGAAGCAGCCAUCAUUUAAAGAAAGCGUAAUAGCUCACUGGUCGAGUCGGCCUGCGCGGAAGAUGUAACGGGGCUAAACCAUGCACCGAAGCUGCGGCAGCGACACUAUGUGUUGUUGGGUAGGGGAGCGUUCUGUAAGCCUGUGAAGGUGGCCUGUGAGGGUUGCUGGAGGUAUCAGAAGUGCGAAUGCUGACAUAAGUAACGAUAAAGCGGGUGAAAAGCCCGCUCGCCGGAAGACCAAGGGUUCCUGUCCAACGUUAAUCGGGGCAGGGUGAGUCGACCCCUAAGGCGAGGCCGAAAGGCGUAGUCGAUGGGAAACAGGUUAAUAUUCCUGUACUUGGUGUUACUGCGAAGGGGGGACGGAGAAGGCUAUGUUGGCCGGGCGACGGUUGUCCCGGUUUAAGCGUGUAGGCUGGUUUUCCAGGCAAAUCCGGAAAACCAAGGCUGAGGCGUGAUGACGAGGCACUACGGUGCUGAAGCGACAAAUGCCCUGCUUCCAGGAAAAGCCUCUAAGCAUCAGGUAACAUCAAAUCGUACCCCAAACCGACACAGGUGGUCAGGUAGAGAAUACCAAGGCGCUUGAGAGAACUCGGGUGAAGGAACUAGGCAAAAUGGUGCCGUAACUUCGGGAGAAGGCACGCUGAUAUGUAGGUGAAGCGACUUGCUCGUGGAGCUGAAAUCAGUCGAAGAUACCAGCUGGCUGCAACUGUUUAUUAAAAACACAGCACUGUGCAAACACGAAAGUGGACGUAUACGGUGUGACGCCUGCCCGGUGCCGGAAGGUUAAUUGAUGGGGUUAGCGGCAACGCGAAGCUCUUGAUCGAAGCCCCGGUAAACGGCGGCCGUAACUAUAACGGUCCUAAGGUAGCGAAAUUCCUUGUCGGGUAAGUUCCGACCUGCACGAAUGGCGUAAUGAUGGCCAGGCUGUCUCCACCCGAGACUCAGUGAAAUUGAACUCGCUGUGAAGAUGCAGUGUACCCGCGGCAAGACGGAAAGACCCCGUGAACCUUUACUAUAGCUUGACACUGAACAUUGAGCCUUGAUGUGUAGGAUAGGUGGGAGGCUUUGAAGUGUGGACGCCAGUCUGCAUGGAGCCGACCUUGAAAUACCACCCUUUAAUGUUUGAUGUUCUAACGUUGGCCCGUAAUCCGGGUUGCGGACAGUGUCUGGUGGGUAGUUUGACUGGGGCGGUCUCCUCCUAAAGAGUAACGGAGGAGCACGAAGGUUGGCUAAUCCUGGUCGGACAUCAGGAGGUUAGUGCAAUGGCAUAAGCCAGCUUGACUGCGAGCGUGACGGCGCGAGCAGGUGCGAAAGCAGGUCAUAGUGAUCCGGUGGUUCUGAAUGGAAGGGCCAUCGCUCAACGGAUAAAAGGUACUCCGGGGAUAACAGGCUGAUACCGCCCAAGAGUUCAUAUCGACGGCGGUGUUUGGCACCUCGAUGUCGGCUCAUCACAUCCUGGGGCUGAAGUAGGUCCCAAGGGUAUGGCUGUUCGCCAUUUAAAGUGGUACGCGAGCUGGGUUUAGAACGUCGUGAGACAGUUCGGUCCCUAUCUGCCGUGGGCGCUGGAGAACUGAGGGGGGCUGCUCCUAGUACGAGAGGACCGGAGUGGACGCAUCACUGGUGUUCGGGUUGUCAUGCCAAUGGCACUGCCCGGUAGCUAAAUGCGGAAGAGAUAAGUGCUGAAAGCAUCUAAGCACGAAACUUGC